rnacentral:rRNA from 1 species
GUGGGGAAUAUUGGGCAAUGGGCGAAAGCCUGACCCAGCAACGCCGCGUGAAGGAAGAAGGCUUUCGGGUUGUAAACUUCUUUUGUCAGGGACGAAAAAAAUGACGGUACCUGACGAAUAAGCCACGGCUAACUACGUGCCAGCAGCCGCGGUAAUACGUAGGUGGCAAGCGUUAUCCGGAUUUACUGGGUGUAAAGGGCGUGUAGGCGGGAAAGCAAGUCAGAUGUGAAAACUAUGGGCUCAACCCAUAGCCUGCAUUUGAAACUGUUUUUCUUGAGUACUGGAGAGGCAGAUGGAAUUCCUAGUGUGGCGGUGAAAUGCGUAGAUAUUAGGAGGAACACCAGUGGCGAAGGCGAUCUGCUGGACAGCAACUGACGCUGAGGCGCGAAAGCGUGGGGAGCAAACAGGAUUAGAUACCCCUGUAGUCC